rnacentral:lncRNA from 1 species
UAAAGUGUGCCUUAAAAUUUCUCAUCCCAUUUAUUUGGUAGGAAUUACUUAUAACUGCUAAUGGUUCUUUUCUCCUUUUCUAAUCAUAUGAAAGCUUGAUGCUAGUUCAUUGUUUCUUCACAACACCUGGUUCUUCAUAUCAUCCUACAAAUAUUCCUUGUCAGUAGCAUCACGAAGCCAUUAAAUUGUCACAUUGCUUUCUGCCUCUGAUAUUGUGUCCUCAAGAGUUAAGCAACCAGAAAUGAUUGGUCAUAGUCAUCAAGCCUGUUGCUCCAAUCAACUUAACCAAGUAAAAACAUCAUUACUAAACAUAGACAAGCACCAUCACAUAUUUUUUGGCUGAUUUUAGUUGUAUGCACUGUAAUUGUUGAUUACCUAACUCAGGCUUAUUCUUCUUAUUAAAUUUUAGUACGUGACAUGCUCACUAUGUAAACAAUCCCGAUCAUUAUUCUCCUCCAUAAUUCCCUUUGUUAGUAGUAGCAGUGCAUCUUUUAAUAUCACUUCAACUAAUGUUUGCUUCCCUACUAGUGCUUUUCUGUGCUUGAUAGUGCUCUUUUGUUCCAUUUAGUGAUUAUUUUUCUCGUGCUA